rnacentral:rRNA from 1 species
UAGUCCACGCCGUAAACGAUGAUCACUCGCUGUCUGCGAUACACAGUAGGCGGCUGAACGAAAGCAUUAAGUGAUCCACCUGGGGAGUACGAUCGCAAGGUUGAAACUCAAAGGAAUUGACGGGGGCCCGCACAAGCGGAGGAACAUGUGGUUUAAUUCGAUGAUACGCGAGGAACCUUACCUGGGCUUAAAUGUAGAUUGCAUAACUUAGAAAUAGGUUUUCCCUUCGGGGCUAUUUACAAGGUGCUGCAUGGUUGUCGUCAGCUCGUGCCGUGAGGUGUCGGGUUAAGUCCCAUAACGAGCGCAACCCUUGUCUUUAGUUGCCAUCAUUAAGUUGGGCACUUUAAAGAGACUGCCGGUGACAAACCGGAGGAAGGUAAGGAUGACGUCAAGUCAGCAUGCCCCUUAUGCUCUGGGCUACACACGUGCUACAAUGGCCGUGACAAAGAGUUGCUACUUUGUGAAAACAAGCUAAUCUCAUAAACGCGGCCUCAGUUCGGAUUGCAGG